AAGUCGUAACAAGGUUUCCGUAGGUGAACCUGCGGAAGGAUCAUUAUUGAAUUGUCGAACGGGGUUGUUGCUGGCCUCUCACCUGAUAGGCAUGUGCACGCCCUUCUCACAUCCAUUCACAACCUGUGCACUCUUUGUAGUUCCAAGUGGGGAGGGACCCUCUGAGGUUCCUCGCAUUCUGGUGCUACGUCUCUCUACAAACACUUUUUGUAUAGAAUGUCAACUCGGCGUGUAUGAACGCAGAAUGUGAAACAACUUUCAGCAACGGAUCUCUUGGCUCUC
rnacentral:misc_RNA from 1 species